rnacentral:lncRNA from 1 species
UUUGAAAGACAGUUCAACGAAAUAAAAGAAUCUCGUUGUAAGAAGGCCCAAGAGAAAGCCAAGGGACUCGUGGUAAAAAUCAAGAAAUUAAUCUAAAAUAAAAUCCAACACUAUGUUAAGCAAUCGCAAAGCGAUUCAUGUAGGAAUCACCCUAUCUGAGAUCGGCCAACAAAACUCUAUGCGUGUAAGAAAUUUCUGAAGUUAAAAUAAAUUUUUAACUCGGAAAUUG